GGCGUGAGUAUCUACAAUCUGCACUGGAUGGUUGCAGUGGUCCUUUCCUUCCUUUCUAAGCCCCAGAAGAGGCGUCUUCUGUGGCCCUGCAUCUCGUAGGAGGACCUGAGAACGUCGCAGAGCCCAGGCAUGCGCACCACCGGCCAUUACGCUUUCCUAACUGGGGGAGCCUCUCAGAUGAGGCAGCAGCGCAGCUUCUCAUAAGAUGUCACCUGUGGCCACCUCCCCAAAGGAUUAUGAAGAUGGCUGAAUGAGGUGACAUAUGACAGUAAUCAGUCCCACCCGUACCUGGCCCACCACACGUGAUGGAAGGACAUGUGACCCUGUAGACUCCAGAGAUUCCAGGACCGCUCACAUGAUGUCACAGACAGGUUGACCAUUCAGGGUGUGAGGACAAGGACACUGGUUUUCUUCUUGGGGCUAAGCUGGCAGGUAUUGUUGGGGCUCUGGGAGAUUCCCAGGGCCUCUGUAGGCGUGUCUUGGUUGUUUCACAAAGACGGGAUGUUGAAGUUAGCAGCAAAUGGUCUCUUCAGGGGAGAUGCUUUGGACUGUCCCUUGGCAGGGGCAGCAACAGUUGGAAGAGCCCUCUGGAAACUCCCCACCUUUACUUUGUCCCUGGCCAGUCCUGGUCUUCGCUCAGAACCUAGAAGUCACUUCAUCGGUGUUGUCUGAACAAGGCCAGACCCAUGUUUCUCACCCUCUGGAGGCUUCUGGGGUUGUUCAGGCAGGACGAGUUGGGUUCUGGGAAUGAGCGUACACAUUGCAGCAUCCAUGGCAUUGUAUUGUAAUUAUCUAUGGGUUCCAGACAAAGGCCUGGAGGGCAGAGGCGGUUCUUCGCCCCUUUCUCUAACUUCUGCACUACAGGAAUUCUGCAUACAUGGUUGAACAAGGAGCACCUCUGAACUUGUCCGGUGCUGGCAGUGAUGAGGGAGGUCCCAAGGAAUGAGGGGCUGGCUGAGUAUCAGGGGCCACUACAUGUCAGGCUCCAGAGAUUCGGUCUGCUUGGCAAGAACUCCAUUCCCCGUUUCCCAGAGAUUGUUCUCGUAAUACACUGGCGAUGCGCCCAAUCCGGGCUCUGACUAGUUCCUAAAACAAGUUAAAUCUUUCCCUUUGGGACAAUUCCAUCAGCAGGGGUAGAUGAGCCUGCUUCUCUGAUGACCUUGGCGUUCGUAGCCCUGACUUGGGCCCUUUUCCAUUUUGGUUCCUCAAGACCUCAGCGGCAGCCCUGUUAUGCUUGGCUGGGUUUCCGGCUGGUGAGGAGGUAAGCGCCGUCUUCCCAGAUCCUGGGAUGGACCAGAGCUGCGUCCACGCCCCCCACCCACAGCUGCCGGUGCCUGGCUGUGAUGGAAACUGGGCUGCUCAUCCAACAGAUCUCAGUGGAGAUUGGAAAGUGCUCGGAGUAGCGAGUUGUGUCAUCGACGGGAUGUGGAGAGAAGCCAGGCUGCAGAUGAGAACUGCGGUCUUUCCGUCGCCCUUGCUUCCCACCCUGACGGAAGGGCAAGGCCAGCUGCAGAGCCUGGACCUAGUGCUCCCAGACGAGCAUUUCUGAAAUGGGGACCAGGAUGACCAGAGCACAGGAAGUAGACUAUCUGAAGAAUCCACCGUUCCAGGCAGUGUCCGGCUACAAGGCAGAAUAAUUUAACCCUUUAAUUCUGACUUUACACACCUGGACAGUGAGCACGGCUUUCUGAGUCAUCUCCAAAGCCCUUACCCUGCAUGUGAUCUAAGGAGAUCUAGAGGGGCAAUGCAUUAGUCAGUGUUCUCCAGAGGAACAGAACUUUGACAAUGAAUAUAUGUUCAUGUAUAUGACUAUUUAUGGUGAACACAUAUAUGCACAUAUACAUGAAUAUAUAUUCAUACUAUGUGUUAUUUAUUUAUUUGUACACACGCACACCCAGACAGAAGAUUUAUUAGAAUGGUGUACAGACUGUGUAUGAUCCAGUAAUGGUUAUCUACCAACCAAAGGCCCAGGAAUCCGGUAGUCAGUUGUUUAGUCUAUGGGGCCGAAUGUCACAGCUGGUCUUCAGUAUAUACUGGGAAUUCCAGAGAAGUAGGUUCUAAUGCCAGUGAAGGAAUGGACUUGCUAGGGGAAGUGAGAGGAAGAAGGCAAAGUCAGAGCAAGCUUCCUUCUUUUAUGUCCUUUGUUUAGGCUACCAGCAGAAGAUGCGGUCCAGGUUAAAGACGGGUCUUCCCCCUUCAAACUAUUUUAUUUAAAAAAAAAAAAAAAAAGCCUCACAGGUGUGCCCAGCUAUUUGGAUUUUAGUUAAUUCCAGAUGUAGUCAAGUUGACAACCAAGACUUAGCCAUCCCAGGUAAUGGAAAAGACAAAUACAUGUUCACUCACCUUUCCCCUCCAGGUUCUAAAUUAAAGAAGAAUGUUUUAUUGAUUUUAGGUGUGGGGCUAAUGGAGUAUAUAAGAAACCUCCGGAAUCCUUUCCCGUUGGACAUUUGAGCGAAUGAGCAAAGACAUUUCUGUGGACGGUGUGUGCUGAGGAGGCACGCAGAUGACUAGCCUCCUCACUGAAAACGGAAGCUCCCGUCUUGUUGGAAGCAGAGUGGAGGGGAUGGAAAGAGCACUUGGCCCGGACUCAGCUCCAGCCUGGUCAGCUCUGAACUUGAGGUCAUCAAGUCAUUUGAGUUUAUUUUAUUUCUAAGAUUCACUCAGCAGAGGCCAAUAUGACUUUAAAAUAGGCACUGUAAGCUAUUCUGUAUGCUUACAAAUAAUAACUCACUUUAAAAAAAUAUACUUUAUCCUA